GUCUCUUUUUAUUUCGUCAGCUACUCAUUUCUCUUCUUCAAAGAGAUUCACUACCAUCAUCAGAUUCAUCAUCACCUUCUUUUGUUCUUCUUCUUCCUCUUAGAAUCGACUAAUUUUAGCAUAUUGGGUUUUGAUUAAGCUUAGUAAUUAAGGUUAAUAUGUUGGAGAACUUGGUCUCUGAUUGAAAUGAUCUACUAGUUUUAUAUGUUUGAUAUUCAGGUUUUAGUGGUUGAACUAAGGGUCUGUGCUCCAAUCUAUUAAGGGUUUUUCUCGAUUUUGAAGUUGAUUGUUCUAAAAACUGAAAUCCAGACGUUGCAAUUGAAGUCGAUUUUGAAGGCUAAGGGAUUGUUUUAAACUGAGGAGAUCGGUAGCGGUGAAAUACCUGCCUAUUCUUUCAAUUUUUUUCUUAAUUUUGCGCAACCAUGCUAAAAUGUGAGGGUAUUCUUAAGUUGCAUUAUGGAGAAGAUGAGGCUGAAAUGGAUGUGUUUUUUAAAUGCUUCUUGUGUCUACAAGUGCUUACCAGUUGCUAAAGAUGAAUCUGAUACAAAGAAGCACCCGAGAUUCUAAUGGCAUAAUUAAAAGCAGAGGAAAAUAAAAGAACAGUAGUGUUGUUUUCUAUGAAAAUUUCUUGAACUUUUCUUUAAUUAGUCUACUUAGUAGUUGUAAGUAGUUUUAAGCUUCAACUGGAAUGAUAACUGGGACUGCCACAACAUCAUCGAUAUUAGAAUGGACGAUGUUAUAAGUAAUCAAGAUUCUAGAAGUUUUGAGGAAGGCCCAAGAAGAAGUGGAUGAAGUAGAAGGCAGAAACAACGUCGUGGAAGAAUCUCACAUGAAACUACACCCUUUUGGAACUUGGAAGCAAUGGUGAAGGAGACUUCAAAGUUGUAUCCUGCAACACCAUUACUGAUUUUAUAUUAUGAGUGUAAAUUUCAUAUUUCAUUCCAGUUUAUUAUUAAUGAUACACUACACCCUUUGGAACUUAUGAUGUAUUUCAGUAUUUGAACUUUUGAAUGAACAAAAUUGUGUUUCAGUUUAA